rnacentral:rRNA from 1 species
GACGUAGGGUGCAAGCGUUGUCCGGAUUUAUUGGGCGUAAAGAGCUCGUAGGCGGCUUGUUGCGUCGACUGUGAAAACCCGCGGCUUAACCGCGGGCUUGCAGUUGAUACGGGCAGGCUAGAGUUCGGUAGGGGAGACUGGAAUUCCUGGUGUAGCGGUGAAAUGCGCAGAUAUCAGGAGGAACACCGAUGGCGAAGGCAGCUCGCUGGACCACUACUGGCGCUGAGGAACGAAAGCCAGGGGAGCAAACGGG